rnacentral:rRNA from 1 species
CAUUACUUUUACCAACUGUAAUGUACCUUAUCUGUUAUGAUUUCAGAAGCUAAGCAGGGUUGGAUCUUAUUAGUACUUGGAUCACCUGAGAAUACCAAGGAUCUGCUGGUAAUGC